UACGUAGGCAGCAAGCGUUGUUCGGAGUUACUGGGCGUAAAGCGCGCGUAGGCGGCUUUGCAAGUCGGGUGUGAAAUCCCCAGGCUUAACCUGGGAACUGCAUUCGAGACUGCAUUGCUAGAGUAUGGGAGAGGGAAGUGGAAUUUCCGGUGUAGCGGUGAAAUGCGUAGAUAUCGGAAGGAACAUCAGUGGCGAAAGCGACUUCCUGGACCAAUACUGACGCUCAUGUGCGAAAGCGUGGGGAGCAAACAGG
rnacentral:rRNA from 1 species